ensembl:lncRNA
CAGUAUCAAAUCAGUAUGAUUGAAUGCUCCGUGCUGUCCUACCACACCCGCUGGCCAAGAGAGUAAGACUAUGAUAGAUUUGAUAGAACCUGUGGCCACAAUGAAUACGUCCACUGAAAUUCAACACUACUGUUGUUUGCUCUUUGGGGUUUAAGGCCAGGUGUUUCUGUAAAAGCACUGCUGUUGUAAAAAGGGCUUUAUAAAUAAAUUUGAUUGAUUGAUUGAUAGAGGCGCAAAUCAGGUGUCUUAAACGAAAAUAAUAAGCUGUUUGAUUACAAAUUCAAAUAAAUAAUUCAACAGUCAACUGAAUGAGUACAGCCUUAAUGCAUGUUGGGCUUUAUAAUAUAGCACAGUGACAAGGUACUUGAAUAUGUCUACAAUCAAUAGUCAACGGUCUCUGGCUAACCGUCAGACAGUCUGCAUUGGUGGCAGAGAUCUUCUCCUGCUGUCUGACUGGAUGAAUGUAUACAAAGCAUCUUGUUAACACGUGAUUCUCUUUAUGUUAGGUAGUACUGUGGAUCCUCCUAACAUCAAUCCCAUCGCCAUUGUUCUGAGUUGCAUUGCGAUACUAUGUGUGUUGGCCUGUGGAUCUGUUCUAUGGUACAGGAAGUGUAAAUCACCCACACCCAAUAAUGGUAAGAAUGACGUUACUUGUGAUAGUGGAGAUAGAUGGAAAUUGUUCCUUGGUAAUGGAACCAAUAGAGAUUUUGUUAGUCCCUUAGUGACAAACAAUGUUGUUUUUGAUAGCUACAUUUCUGUGGCUAUAUUAGAGUAGAUGAGAAAGAUAUACGGUAAUAAAAUAAUGAUUUAUCUUGUACAGGGAUGUCCUGGCCAUGUUUAAAACUUUUAGUUAAAAGAACUGUGGGAGGCAAUUUAAAAAUAAUACUUAUAGCUGCGUUAUUCUCAACACCAAUAGCAGGCUGAGUGAAAGAAAUUUUUCACAGAUAUCAUGGCUGUGUCAUGAAUCUGGUAUCCUUCUCUUUCUCCCUCUUCUGGCCACACUCGCACUUACACACUUACACACACGCGCGCGCACACACACACACACACACACACACACACACACACACACACACGCACACUCUCCAUUACACACACACACAACCACACGCACUUUCACUCACCCUCAGCUGUUCCUAGUUGCAACCAGCGAUCGCGCUAAUUCUCCCACACCUGUUCUCUCUCCCCUCUGUUUGUGUUUGCUUCUUCUAGCUUCCCCUUUUCCCUGCUUCUUUGCCAGGUUAUUCCGUGAGUUAUCUAUGCAAAAGGCUCUCUCUCCCAAGUAUUAUUUUUAUACGUCUUGUCUGAGUCCUGUCUGGAUCUGGACUGUACAAAUACUACGCUGUGUUUGCUGAAUGACUGCUUACUCUACACUCUGCCUAGUUUGCCUGCUGUUGACGACCUGCCUGAGCAUUCUCUCCGCCAGCCGUAUACCGUAUCCUCUCUGUGAGAUCCGAGACUUGACGCCGCCAGACCUGGUCUUUCUGCUGUGCUCUGCCUCUGUUACUGGAAUAUAUUUGUAGUUUGUCUAACGCACGUAUUGACGGCAGUUUCUGUUAAUUAUUUCAAGAAGAGGAUUUCUGUUCAUCUGGACUGUUACUCUUCCAUUAUUAAAGACAUUGCAUUAUUGCAUUUCGCUUUUGGGUCCUUUCUCACCUGCAAUAACAGGCUGGUUAGAUACUUCAGAAAAGUUUUCUGUGUUAAUGUUACUCAUAACAGUGGCACAAGUCAUGUAAGUUGAGUUAGUUGAGUUAGUCUGUUAGUUGAGUUAGUCUGGACAGUUGGCUGCAGGGGUCCUUAUAAUGCAGGUGUGUUUUUUUUUCCAGCGUUAGUGCUUGACAACUGAGCUGUUAAUGUCUAAUCUUGGUUCUAGGCUUUGCAUUUGCAUUUGGAGACUGCUGUGGGUGUAUGUAACUGCUGACAACAGCAGCAGGAUGAAUUCUGAAGUAUACAUAACUAUGUUGUACAUCAAAUAUAGAUACUUUUGUUUUUCCAGAUGUGGAUCUUAAAGAAAAUCAAGAAGUAAUACAACUGACCUCAAAUACCCCAGAUUGACAAUGGACCAUUUUAGGUGUGGAACCCAAAAUGGUAGAAGGUUAUAUUAUUGAUAUGACAUUAAAUAUCAGUUCAGCCUUCUGAUGGGACAUAAAGGGCUCAGUGAAGCUUGUUAUUUUCAAACCAAGCGUUGUUGGAAAUUAUAACUUUCCCUUCACAAUGAUAAGCUGGACUUCAGGGUUAUUUUAAUGGUGUUGAGAAAGACUGGGAGUUGUUCAAAUAUUUAAUCAAUAUGUUGAAAUCACUUCCGAAGGAAAAUGUUGGCACUAGACUAUGGCUUGCAAUUAAAAACAUUUUUGUAUUUUAUUUUGUUUUAGAAGUAGUGACCUGAAAUGCACUUUAAUAGUGUUGCACCUUUUUCACAAUUUAAAAUCUUGAUGUCCUCUUUAUAUCAAAAAUGUCAGGGAAAAAGACACAAAUGCAAAUAUAAUGUUAGAAAAGGUUAUUAUUUCUUAGCCACGCAAAUAUGCAUGCAAUGCCUUAUGUCGAACAAUCUGCCUGGGCUGACCAAGAAUGUUCUGGAUACUCUGUUGACGCCCCGGUUUGCACUUCUUCAAUACACACUCAGGGAUUGACUCUAUUCCAAUGACUCCUGUGUAACUGUAUUGGUGUAGCCACCACUGUUGAGCAGAACUGAAUCUGUCUGUCUUCAAUGUAUUUUAUAUUCCUGGUCCUGUAGUAGCGUUUAUCUUUCCUGAAAAAUGCCGUUUUUUUUAUAUCAUCUGCUUGUUGCAUUUGUUUUCCAUUAUGUUCCUAGUGCCUGAAAGAUUAAGAAGGUAAUGUUAGAUCACUCAAAACGUUCUGCACCGCUGAGAGAUCCCAAUGGGCAUCCACCUCUUUAAACACACUCGCAUACACACAGCUGUUACUCUGUUUACAAUCUACUCUAAUGCAUAGUCACUUUACACCUUUUUGGUCUCUCAUAAAAAAAAUGGUGGGUAUUGCUGGGUGUGUUCAUGUAGAGCUCACCGGCCCAACCUGGUUUUAAGAAACUGAUUGACAUGGGCUAUUUUCUCAAAGUGGGGGCAAAAGAAAGAUGCAGAAUGCUUAUUGUUUUUCUGAAAUAUUUCCAAACGUGGAGCUUAAUGUAUGUUCAUAUUUCUAUGAAAUAUUGUAUUGUUUUUCAAGAAAGAUCAUCUCCAUAAUGUAUUGUUAUUCAUAGGGGACUGUUAUUCAUGUUGAAUAAUGUAUUUCUUUUUUACAGUUUUUUGCUUGUGUAAUAAAUUGCAUUUUAAAGUGAUGUUCACCAAAUUGCAGUGUUUGUAUUGACCAGCAGAUGGCAAUCCCACACUACAGCUACAUGCUCAGCCGUCCGACUGAGACACCCGUAA